rnacentral:rRNA from 1 species
GAUAAACGCUGGCGGCGUGCAUAACACAUGCAAGUCGAACGAAGUGGCGAACGGGUGAGUAACACGUGAGUAACCUGCCUUACACAAGGGGAUAGCCUCUGGAAACGGAGAAUAAUACCCUAUAGUGUAAGAUGGACUUGCGUCUGAUUAGCUAGUUGGUGAGAUAAAAGCUCACCAAGGCGACGAUCAGUAGCCGGCUUGAGAGAGUGUACGGCCACAUUGGGACUGAGACACGGCCCAAACUCUACGGGAGGCAGCAGUGGGGAAUUUUGCACAAUGGGGGAAACCCUGAUGCAGCGACGCCGCGUGAUUUAGAAGGCCUUCGGGUUGUAAACCUCUUUCGCUAUCGAACACUUAGGGUGGGUUGAGGGUAGGUGGAGAAGAAGCGCCGGCUAACUACGUGCCAGCAGCCGCGGUAAUUC